CGCGUAGGUGGUCCUUCAAGUCAGAUGUUAAAUUUCUCGGCUUAACUGGGAAUGGUCAUCUGAUACUGCUGGACUUGAGGGUGGUAGAGGGAGGUGGAAUUCCCGGUGUAGUGGUGAAAUGCGUAGAUAUCGGGAGGAACACCAGUGGCGAAAGCGGCCUCCUAGGCCAUUUCUGACACUGAGGUGCGAAAGCGUGGGGAGCGAACAGGAUCAGAUACCCUGGUAGUCCACGCCCUAAACUGUGGAAACUAGGUACAGGGAGUAUCGACCCUUCCUGCGCCGUAGCUAACGCGUUAAGUUUCCCGCUUGGGGACUACGGUCGCAAGACUAAA
rnacentral:rRNA from 1 species